rnacentral:rRNA from 1 species
UACGGAGGAUGCGAGCGUUAUCCGGAUUUAUUGGGUUUAAAGGGUGCGUAGGCGGGAUGCCAAGUCAGCGGUAAAAAUGCGGUGCUCAACGCCGUCGAGCCGUUGAAACUGGCGUUCUUGAGUGGGCGAGAAGUAUGCGGAAUGCGUGGUGUAGCGGUGAAAUGCAUAGUUAUCACGCAGAACUCCGAUUGCGAAGGCAGCAUACCGGCGCCCUACUGACGCUGAGGCACGAAAGCGUGGGUAUCGAACAGG